rnacentral:rRNA from 1 species
AGAGUUUGAUUCUGGCUCAGGACGAACGCUGGCGGUGUGCCUCAUACAUGCAAGUCGAACGAGAAGCUGACUUCGGUCAGUGGAAAGUGGCGGACGGGUGAGUAAUGUGUAGAAAAUCUGCCCUAGAGAGGGGGACAACAGAGGGAAACUUCUGCUAAUACCCCAUAUGAGCUUGGUUGAAAUACCAAUCUUGAAAACUCCGGUGCUCUAGGAUGAGUCUGCAUCUGAUUAGCUAGUUGGUGGUGUAAUGGACUACCAAGGCGACGACCAGUAGCUGGUUUGAGAGGAUGAUCAGCCACAAUGGGACUGAGACACGGCCCAUACUCCUACGGGAGGCAGCAGUAGGGAAUUUUGCGCAAUGGGCGAAAGCCCUGACGCAGCAACACCGCGUGAACGUUAAGCCCUUCGGGGUAUAAAGUUCUGUCACUGGGGAAGAAUAAAUGACUGUACCCAGAGAGGAAGCACCGGCUAACUCCGUGCCAGCCGCCGC